AAGAGAAUUAGUAACGCAUGCGAGAGGUCGUGGUGACAGUCAUGGAGAAGUUUUUAAAAAGGACAAAUGCAAACUCCGAACAAGCAGAGUGAUGAUGUCAUCAACACGAGACGCUGCUUGCUAAACGCUGCUCCGGAUCACCAACAAACAAGUGAAAGUAGCAGUUCCUCCUUAAGGUCAGAGAUUGCAGCAUCUGAGGGCCUCUUCAAAAGAAGACGUAGUUGAUGAAGGCGUUCUGGAGCAGGACCAGAAAGACCACGACCAAGCAGCCUUGAGAUCUUAGACAGCGUCUCCCUCAGAGUGAAAGUAGCAGUUCCUCCUGAAGGUCAGAAAUUGCAGCAUCUCAGGGCCUCUUCAAAAAAAGACGUAGUUGAUGAAGGCGUUCUGGAGCAGGACCAGAAAGACCACGACCAAGCAGCCUUGAGAUCUUAGACAGCGUCUCCCUCAGGUCCCUCUCUAUCUCCCCACACAUCCACCAACCACUGGAACACAUCUCCAAAGUUCUGCUGGACCAGCUCAGCUUCCCCUCAGAAGAAGUGGUGCCACCUGCCAGAUGAAGGAGCCUUUUGAGAGGCAGCUGGCAUCGUGAUUGGACUGUACUUUGGUCUGUUCCAGUCCAGCUUCAGCUCCAGAGACGGCAGGCGGGACGAGUCAACGGAGGCCGGAUGGACGAAGGCAUGCAGCUGAGUACAAUCCAGAAAACAACAGAGGAGGAGUGUAGCAGCCCAGAGCCAGAACAACCAGAGUAGCAUGACCAAAGAACUACAGACUCUUCAUAACCUGCUCAAACUCUUGGUACAGGACCUCACCACACGGGUCAAGAAGGUUUCUGUCUCAUUUCUACUCUGAAGCUCACCUUCUCCUGCUCAAACUGCUGACAAAUGUUUCUGCUGCUCUAAAGACUGGUCUCCAGAACUUCCUAAAAACUCUCAAAGUCUCUUCUGCUGCAGGUUGCUUUGUAGAACUGUUCCAGAAAACCUCACUAAACCACAUGGAGGGGCCUCAAGAUAGUCGUCCAAAUGAAACCAUACAAAAACCAAACUAGUACAACCCAAACGCUAAAGUCUCCUGCAGCCUACCAGAGAACCUCUGAGAACAGAGAAUCAGGACAGGAACUCUUACCUUCUGGACAACCAACGUUGGUUCUCAAACAAGAAUACAGAAUGUGUCUGACCAAAAACCUCUGAAGACUCACUACAGCCAAGAUAAAGACACAACUCAGCUGCAUCAAAUCCACUAAUCACUGCACACAUUAACACCAUGUGCUAACUGUGGCUAAAGAACCACAUUUACCAAGACAACUAUCCAGUACAAAGCUCUAAAACACACCAAGAAACACAUUAAAGAUGAUUUUACUGCUGGAAGCUGCAAGCCAACGCCUAAAGAACAACCUAAAGCAAUGGAGCCAAACCAGGUUCAGUGGUGAAGAGAAACAGAGGAAAUGUUUGUCUGCAGCUAAAUAAAGCAGGAAGACACUGAGCUGCUCAGGUGUUCCUGAUAACACCAAGCAGCCACCUGGACAGCCAAUAGGAACACAGCCACCUGGACAGCCAAUAGGAACACAGCUUCCUGGAAGUCCAGAGGGCUGGCUUAGUCAAGGAAAUUUAGUUUAACGUUGAAGCAGAAAGUUAACAAAGAAAGUUGAAAACCACCUUCUGAUCCCUGAAAUCUCUGAGUUUUCACACAAAGAACACCUGAACAUGUCAAAGUGGUUCCAUAGUAGAACCAUCAUUGUAAAAACAUCAUAGUAUGGUGUGUUGCUCAAAAAACAUUAGGACCCAGCUGUCUCGGGUCGCAGAGGAGCAACACAAAAACAGGACAAACACUGGUUUCCAGGGGGUUAGGAGGAUAUUUAUUUGAAAGAGGAAGUUUACAACAACACAACAUGUGAGCAGAAAAAUCACAGUCUGUCUUUAGUUCAGCUGAAAAUAUUAGUUUUUGUCUUUUUUAUUGACCAAACUUUUCAGGAAGUAGAUGAAGAAUAAUUAAAGCUCUCAUGUAGAAGUCCAACUUAUUUUGGAUCCUUGUGGAGAGUUUAAUCUUAGAGUUUGUAAAGCUGUUGAGUUUUUAGAGUCACAUGGAUUGUUUUGACAUUUAAUAACCGAGUCCUGAAAUAAAAUUACAGUUGUGGAUUUCUGUCAUUUAGUCUGGACUAAACAAAUAACAGCAGCAUAAAUCUCAAACAUCAUUAUGAGGCGUCUGGAUUGAGGUUUCUCACUUGAUAAUGAUCAAAACAUGAAAUUUAGGUUGGUUUAAAGGAAUAUUCCACCUUAAAUCUUUGAAUGUUGACCUAAAAGGUUGGUUUCAGGAAGUAUUCCACCUACAAGGCCCUCACACAUCGACCUUAAAGGAACAUCAGCUCCUCUCCUGUGGAACCAGCUCCCAGUUUGGGUUCAGGAGGUGGACACCCUCUCUAUUUUUAAGACCAGGUUUAAAACCUUCCUUUUUGACAAAUUUUAUAGUUAGGACUGACUGGGGGACCCUGAGGGGGUCAGCUGGAGUCUUCCUCUUGACGUCCCUUUAGUUCUGCCCCUAGUUCUGCUGCUAUAGGCCUAGGCUGCUGGAGGACCUCUCUGGAUGCACUGAGCCCUUCUCUAGCUACCUAUAUAUUUACUAUAUAUACCAUUAUUGCAUUACACUCACUCUGUUUCUCCCUGUGUCCUUUCUCCGAGUGUCCCUGGUCCCAGAGCUGGAUGCUUCAGAUCUGUGGUUCUUCUCCCACCAACUGGCCUAAUCUCCAUCAUGUCCACUGUGGGAUGCUGCUGCUGACCUUCCUCCAGCCCAUUGCUUCCAGCUGCCCAUUCCUACCAAUCUACUCUGCAUUGCCCUUACUAUAGUUGAUUUGCUCAUCUACAUAUUUUUGAAUUUACCACCAGCUAUAUAUGUGGUAUAUUUAAUGCCAGAGCCGUACACCAUAGUAGCAAACAAUAAUUAGUUUCCAUGUUAGUUGUACUUUGCAUAUAUCAUCUGUCUUAUCAUGCAUUUAUCAAACUGUGUGUUUUAUGGUCCUUGCCCUGCAAAAUACUUUGUAAAAGCGACAGGUCCGUAGCAGCUUUCAUUUUUUCAAAAAACUUUUCGGUGACCCCCCCAAAACCAUCUGUUGUACCCCCCUAAAUAAUGUAAAAGAGGCAGUGAAAAAGAUUAUGGUAAGGUUUUCUUUGAAAAAAAAUCAUGAAUUUUGGCGCAAUAAAAACGCCAUAGUAUACUAUGUCGAAAAGAAUAUGGAAUUUUUCAAACAUGUUGUAAAAACGUGCCAUAUGAUGAAAUAAUGUAAAGGAGGCCGUGAAAAACACUCCAGAAAGGUUUUCUUUGAAAAACAAAAAAUCAUCAUGAAUUUUGGCGUAAAAAAAACGCCUUACUAUACUAUGUCGAAAAAAAAUGCCAUUUUUCAAACAUGUUGUAAAAACGUGCCAUAUGAUGAAAUAAUGUAAAGGAGGGCGUGAAAAACA